AUUGAACGCUGGCGGCAGGCCUAACACAUGCAAGUCGAACGGUAACAGGAAGCAGCUUGCUGCUUCGCUGACGAGUGGCGGACGGGUGAGUAAUGUCUGGGAAGCUGCCUGAUGGAGGGGGAUAACUACUGGAAACGGUAGCUAAUACCGCAUAAUGUCGCAAGACCAAAGAGGGGGACCUUCUGGCCUCUUGCCAUCGGAUGUGCCCAGAUGGGAUUAGCUUGUUGGUGGGGUAACGGCUCACCAAGGCGACGAUCCCUAGCUGGUCUGAGAGGAUGACCAGCCACACUGGAACUGAGACACGGUCCAGACUCCUACGGGAGGCAGCAGUGGGGAAUAUUGCACAAUGGGCGCAAGCCUGAUGCAGCCAUGCCGCGUGUAUGAAGAAGGCCUUCGGGUUGUAAAGUACUUUCGGCGGGGAGGAAGGGAGUAAAGUUAAUACCUUUGCUCAUUGACGUUACCCGCAGAAGAAGCACCGGCUAACUCCGUG
rnacentral:rRNA from 1 species